AACGAACGCUGGCGGCAUGCCUAACACAUGCAAGUCGAACGAUACCUUCGGUUCUAGUGUCGCACGGGUGCGUAACGCGUGGGAACCUGCCUUUAGGUUCGGAAUAACUCAGAGAAAUUUGAGCUAAUACCGGAUGAUGUCUUCGGACCAAAGAUUUAUCGCCUUUAGAUGGGCCCGCGUUUGAUUAGCUAGUUGGUGGGGUAAAGGCCUACCACGGCGACGAUCCAUAGCUGGUCUGAGAGGAUGAUCAGCCACACUGGGACUGAGACACGGCCCAGACUCAUACGGGAGGAAGCAGUGGGGAAUAUUGGACAAUGGGCGAAAGCCUGAUCCAGCAAUGCCGCGUGAGUGAUGAAGGCCUUAGGGUUGUAAAGCUCUUUUACCCGAGAUGAUAAUGACAGUAUCGGGAGAAUAAGCUCCGGCUAACUCCGUG
rnacentral:rRNA from 1 species